UCAGAUUUAUAACUCUUUCUCCUCUGUACAUGACAGAUAUGAAGACACAAUCUGUGAUCGAGACACUCUCAUCCAAGCGUGCCCAGAUCCUGUUGGCUGUCCAGCUGACAAAGAUGAUCCUUAAAAUUGAUGAUGUCAGAGGAAGCGCAGAUCAGGUAUAGACAAUAGGAUAAGAGCUUGUAUAUUUAUUUUUGUGACCAGACAUUGUGUUGAACUAUUGGAGAGACUGAGUUGAAUUUGUCCACAGUUUGACACGUCGAUUGACAUGAAUGUGAAUUCCAUGCAACAUUUUCCCAGCGACUUAGUACUAGUAUGAGAGGCCCACCAAGUUCAGUGUUGUCACGCUCCAGUGACUGUGUUCACGGUGGGGUGCGAGUGAACUCCUUCUUUUUAUACAUUAACAUAUUAUGUAUGUAUCUGAUUGCUUGAACAAAUUAAAUGUGAUUGUAAAAAUGU
rnacentral:misc_RNA from 1 species